AUCUUUUUAGUAUAAUAAUUAUAUUUGACUUCCAAUCAAAAGAUCUUAAAUAUAAGAAAAGAUA
rnacentral:tRNA from 1 species